UGCCCUGUUUAAAAAUAAAGAAAAAAAAAAAAAAAGAAAAAAGCUUUAUCCCAAGACACCCAUGACAAAACUGCUUUGAGGAAGUGCAGUCAUCCCACACAGAUACACAUCCCUCCUUUAAAUACAAAACCCAAACACCGUUUUUUCCCCAGACUGCACAGUUAGAACCUGUUUUAAAUUACAUUUCUCAGUACGCCCAAGUUGAACAGCAUUUUAUGGAUCAGAAUUUUAGCAUUUAGCAUAAAGCUACAAAUCAGAGUUGGAGCUGGGGAAGGAGAAGCCAUUUAACGUGGAGCCGUGGAGCAGAUGUUGAGCACUCCACUUGCAGGCUCACAAAGCCAGGACAUCUGUUAGAAAUAUGUGAGCAGAGGCACCAUCAAGCCUCUUAGAUGCUGCAGUGAUCCUCUGCCUUUCCUACAUCCUCUUCCAAAUUACACUGAGGUGUAAGGGAAUAGUCCCAUCCCUCACCACCUCCACCAUUCCCAGUCCAUGUUUUUCUGCUUCCAGGCUGGUGCUUCCACACAGUUGAUUCAGGAUCAUUGACCCAAGCAGGUUCUUUUUUUGUUUCAGGGUUUUCAGGACAAAAAGGAAGGGGGGGGGGGGUGAGCUUUUUGUUGGCCUCUUCACAGAGCAGCAGAGAUUUCUCUUGGCAUCAGUUUCCCUCUCAGGAUCCCACUACAGGCUGGUGUGGCAGGGGAGUUUAAUGCAGAACAACCAGAAACAACACAUGGUGAAGCACUCACCCAUAGUGCAAUUAGCAGCCUUCCCCAGAAGCAUUUUUCAAUACCCCAGGGCACUCAGAAUUUGCUGACUGUUUGAUUUGUGCUGCCCCAAAUUCCUGACAUUGCUUAAGCAAACCACAGGACCAGGAAAUAAGUGAUCCUGUCUUCCGAUCCUUUUUUUAUAAGGCUACUGCCUUUGUUUUCUCAGAGAAAAUAAAAUCAAUUUUUUUCCCACCUCUGUCUUCCUGAUCAGAGGAACACCAGUUUAAAUCUCAGCUCCCAAGGGAGAGGGAUUUGUUAAUUUGACAAUACUCCAUUCAAACGCUAAGAGUUCAACAAACACUUGCUCCAAGAUGAGCACACGGAUUUUGUUUGAUUCACAAUGAUUCAAUUAGCAGCCGUCUAAGGAAUUCUGAAAUUUUUCUGGGUAUGAAAACACUGGCUUACAGAGGUUUGUUGUUCUUAAUCCAGAUGUGACCCUGGCAAGCGGAGAUGUGCAAAAAAAAAAAACUCCCCCACACCUAGUCCAGCCAAGGUGAAGGGCACUGCUCACCCCGCACUGGGCUGGACGACAGCCUGCAUCCAUCACCUGAGAGAAGAUAAAUGCUGCUGUCACCCCAGCUCCUGAGCUCCAUCCAUCACUGCUCAACCAGCUGAGUCCCAGCAUGAUUUGCCAUUUGCCUCACUAAGCUGCAGCUCCUGUCCAAAGAGCACACAGGCACCAUGCCCUGUGCAGGCAUUUAGUGAGCACAGCCAGGGCUUGACUCAGUCACUGCAGAGCAACUUUGCAGAUUAAAGCAGAAUUCAGUGUAUGAGAGCAGGUCCUAUGCUUUGCAUGCACAACUGUGGGGUGCAAAGAAAGAUUUGGUACCAGCCUCAGCCUGUCGCCAUUGAGGCAGGACGGGAACAAAGAGACUCCAGUUCAGAAGACGAGAAGAGAACUAAACUCAACUGAUUUCUUUCAAAUACACCACUCUUUUUAUAGAGAACAUAGUGCAGACCAAUUUCAUUGAUCUUAAAGUAAAAACAUCUCACACCAUUGGUGCGCAGUGAAUGGCAUGCGGUGGCAGAACAUAUCUAUAAACAAUGUGAACAACAAGAGAGAUAGUGAAUUAUUUACAUUCCUUUGAAACUCCUUCCCAGGCCCAGCCUGGUAAAAAUCUCUCCUUUUCUCUCUGACUGAACCGAGAAUAUCCAUAUUGGCCCAUACACUAAAAAGGAGCUGGAAGAGGUGUAGGGAAGCAGCAAAGUGCAAUCAGCAAAGAGUAUCAUGUGUCCUCCCCAGUUUGUUUCUGACCAGGACCAGCAAGAGCAGAUUAAUGCUCUUACUGGGAGUGGGACCCUCAUCCAGCUGCUACACCAAAAAAAGGCUGAGCCUUAGGCCUCUUCAGCCCACCCCACUUACUGACACUACUACCAACAUCUCCUUCACAGAGAAGCUCUCUGUGAAGAACCUCUCCUCUAAUUCACUGUAUUAUUUCCUGCCUGAUUUCAGCUAGCUCUGGAAGAGGUUCUGCUCUCAGACCUCUGUGCACUACCUUUGACCUUAUCAAACAAGUCAAUCCCCCAAGUUCAAGAUUGGGACACUUAAAAAUUUU